UGCAGUCGAACGCGAAAGCACUUCGGUGCAAGUAGAGUGGCGAAAGGGCGAGGAAUAAGUACCUAACGUGCCUUCAGGUAAGGGAUAGCUCAUGGAAACGUGUGGUAAUACCUUAUAAUCUCAUCUUCUCAUAUGGGUUGAUGAGCAAAGGCUUGCUGCCUGAAGAUCGGGGUACUUCCUAUCAGCUUGUUGGUGAGGUAACGGCUCACCAAGGCGAAGACGGGUAGCGGGUGUGAGAGCAUGACCCGCCGCAUCGGGACUGAGACACUGCCCGGACUCCUACGGGAGGCUGCAGUAACGAAUAUUCCGCAAUGCGCGAAAGCGUGACGGAGCAAUGCCGCGUGUGGGAUGAAGCAUCUAGGUGUGUAAACCACUGUCAGGGUUUAGGAAACAAAUGAUCAGACCCAAAGGAAGAGCCGGCUAACUCUGUGCCAGCAGCCGCGGUAAUACAGAGGGCUCAAGCGUUAAUCGGAAUCACUGGGCUUAAAGGGUCCGCAGGCGGAUCGGUAAGUAUCUUGUGAAAUACCAUGGCUCAACCAUGGAAUUGCUCGGUAAACUGCCAAUCUUGAACACGGUAGGGGCCAUCGGAACUCUAGGUGGAGCGGUGAAAUGCGUAGAUAUCUAGAGGAACGCCAGAGGCGAAGGCGGAUGGCUGGGCCGUUGUUGACGCUCAGGGACGAAAGCAUGGGUAGCGAACGGGAUUAGAUACCCCGGUAGUCCAUGCCCUAAACGAUGUGCACUAGGUCGCGGAAGGUUUGACCCUAUCGCGGCUGAAGUUAAAAUAUUAAGUGCACCGCCUGGGGAGUACGGUCGCAAGGCUAAAACUCAAAGGAAUUGACGGGGGCUCACGCAAGCGGUGGAGCAUGUGGCUUAAUUCGAAAGCACGCGAAGAACCUUAUCUAGGGGCUGACAUGUAUGGAUUAUUGAU
rnacentral:rRNA from 1 species